rnacentral:rRNA from 1 species
ACGCGAAUCUCCCUUCGGGGAGAAGUAGAGUGGCGCACGGGUGAGUAACACGUAGGUAAUCUACCUCUGGGUGGGGAAUAACAGUCGGAAACGGCUGCUAAUACCGCAUAACGCAGCGGCACCACAUGGUGACAGUUGUUAAAGCGGGGGAACUUCGGUCCUCGCGCCUGGAGAGGAGCCUGCGGCGGAUUAGCUAGUUGGUAGGGUAACGGCCUACCAAGGCUUCGAUCCGUAGCCGGCCUGAGAGGGCGGUCGGCCACACUGGCACUGACAUACGGGCCAGACUCCUACGGGAGGCAGCAGUCGGGAAUUUUGGGCAAUGGGCGAAAGCCUGACCCAGCAACGCCGCGUGAAGGAUGAAGUUUCUCGGAAUGUAAACUUCACAAGAAUGGGAAGAAUAAGUCUGGGCUAAUACCCCUGACGAUGACGGUACCAUUUGUAAGCUCCGGCUAACUCCGUGCCAGCAGCCGCGGUAAUACGGGGGGAGCAAGCGUUGUUCGGAUUUACUGGGCGUAAAGGGCGCGUAGGCGGCGCAACAAGUCACUUGUGAAAUCUCCGGGCUUAACUCGGAGCGGUCAAGUGAUACUGUCGUGCUAGAGUGCGGAAGGGGCUACUGGAAUUCUCGGUGUAGCGGUGAAAUGCGUAGAUAUCGAGAGGAACACCUGCGGCGAAGGCGGGUAGCUGGGCCGACACUGACGCUGAGGCGCGAAAGCUAGGGGAGCGAACGGGGAUAGAUACCCCGGUAGUCCUAGCCUAAACGAUGGAUGCUUG